rnacentral:pre_miRNA from 1 species
CCACGAUAGUGUAUACGUGUUAGUUGGACUCACGUGCUAGUCACAUAGAAUAAAAUAUAAUUAGAAAAACAUAUUUUCUCCUCUCUACCUUAUAAUUUUUAUCUUUUUUCUGUCUACCUAAGAGGAGAAAAUAUGGUUUUUAAUUUUAAUUUUUAUAUAUGUUUGACAUGUGGAUUCCACUGACACGUAGACGUCACCGUGGCAUU